GGUAUUGUUCUUCGGAAUGAGAGACCGGCGCACGGGUGCGUAACGCGUAUGCAAUCUACCUUUCACAGAGGGAUAGCCCAGAGAAAUUUGGAUUAAUACCUCAUAGUAUAACACAACCGCAUGGUUGAGUUAUUAAAGUCACAACGGUGAAAGAUGAGCAUGCGUCCCAUUAGCUUGUUGGUAAGGUAACGGCUUACCAAGGCAACGAUGGGUAGGGGUCCUGAGAGGGAGAUCCCCCACACUGGUACUGAGACACGGACCAGACUCCUACGGGAGGCAGCAGUGAGGAAUAUUGGACAAUGGGCGCAAGCCUGAUCCAGCCAUGCCGCGUGCAGGAUGACGGUCCUAUGGAUUGUAAACUGCUUUUGCACAGGAAGAAACACUCGGACGUGUCCGAGCUUGACGGUACUGUGAGAAUAAGGAUCGGCUAACUCCGUGCCAGCAGCCGCGGUAAUACGGAGGAUCCAAGCGUUAUCCGGAAUCAUUGGGUUUAAAGGGUCCGUAGGCGGUUUGGUAAGUCAGUGGUGAAAGCCCAUCGCUCAACGGUGGAACGGCCAUUGAUACUGCUAGACUUGAAUUAUUAGGAAGUAACUAGAAUAUGUAGUGUAGCGGUGAAAUGCUUAGAGAUUACAUGGAAUACCAAUUGCGAAGGCAGGUUACUACUAAUGGAUUGACGCUGAUGGACGAAAGCGUGGGUAGCGAACAGGAUUAGAUACCCUGGUAGUCCACGCCGUAAACGAUGGAUACUAGCUGUUGGGAGCAAUUUCAGUGGCUAAGCGAAAGUGAUAAGUAUCCCAC
rnacentral:rRNA from 1 species